rnacentral:rRNA from 1 species
UUUAAAUGUAAAUUUUUGAACUAAAUUAGUAAUAGAUAUGAUCUUCAAAUUUAAAGAUUUUGGCGGUAUUUUAGUCUAUUCAGAGGAACCUGUUCUGUAAUUGAUAGUCCACGAUUAACUUUACUUAAUUUUAAAAAUUUGUAUAUCGUUGUUUAUAGAAAAUUUUAUAAGAAAAAUAAUUUUUAGUAAGUUUUAUUAAAUUGUAAAUCAAAUCAAGGUGCAGUUUAUAGUUAAGGUAGAAAUGGGUUACAAUAAAUUUAUUUAUUAAUGGAUAUAAAUUUUAAAAUUUUAUUGAAGGUGGAUUUGAUAGUAAUAUUAUUUAUUUAAAUAAUGUGAUUAUAGCUCUAAAAUAUGU